CAGCAGCCACGGGAACACGGAGGGGGCUAGCGUUGUUCGGAAUUACUGGGCGUAAAGCGCACGUAGGCGGCUUGGUAAGUUAGAGGUGAAAGCCUGGAGCUCAACUCCAGAAUUGCCUUUAAGACUGCCGAGCUAGCAGGUGAGAGAGGUAAGUGGAAUUCCGAGUGUAGAGGUGAAAUUCGUAGAUAUUCGGAAGAACACCAGUGGCGAAGGCGGCUUACUGGCUCAUACUGGACGCUGAGGUGCGAAAGCGUGGGGAGCAAACAGGAUUAGAUACCCCAGUAGUCCCUGUCUCUUAUAC
rnacentral:rRNA from 1 species